rnacentral:rRNA from 1 species
UAGCUAGUUGGUGAGGUAAAGGCUCACCAAGGCGACGAUCUGUAGCGGGUCUGAGAGGAUGAUCCGCCACACUGGAACUGAGACACGGUCCAGACUCCUACGGGAGGCAGCAGUGGGGAAUUUUGGACAAUGGGGGCAACCCUGAUCCAGCCAUGCCGCGUGAGUGAAGAAGGCCUUCGGGUUGUAAAGCUCUUUCGGCCGGGAAGAAAUCGCAUGGGCCAAUACCCUGUGCGGAUGACGGUACCGGCAUAAGAAGCACCGGCUAACUACGUGCCAGCAGCCGCGGUAAUACGUAGGGUGCGAGCGUUAAUCGGAAUUACUGGGCGUAAAGCGUGCGCAGGCGGUUUUGUAAGACAGGCGUGAAAUCCCCGGGCUCAACCUGGGAACUGCGUUUGUGACUGCAAGGCUAGAGUACGGCAGAGGGGGGUGGAAUUCCACGUGUAGCAGUGAAAUGCGUAGAGAUGUGGAGGAACACCAAUGGCGAAGGCAGCCCCCUGGGUCGAUACUGACGCUCAUGCACGAAAGCGUGGGUAGCAAACAGGAUUAGAUACCCUGGUAGUCCACGCCCUAAACGAUGUCAACUAGGUGUUGGGUGGGUAAAACCAUUUAGUACCGGAGCUAACGCGUGAAGUUGACCGCCUGGGGAGUACGGCCGCAAGGUUAAAACUCAAAGGAAUUGACGGGGACCCGCACAAGCGGUGGAUGAUGUGGAUUAAUUCGAUGCAACGCGAAAAACCUUACCUACCCUUGACAUGUCCAGAAGCCUGAAGAGAUUUGGGUGUGCCCGAAAGGGAACUGGAACACAGGUGCUGCAUGGCUGUCGUCAGCUCGUGUCGUGAGAUGUUGGGUUAAGUCCCGCAACGAGCGCAACCCUUGUCGUUAAUUGCCAUCAUUCAGUUGGGCACUUUAACGAGACUGCCGGUGACAAACCGGAGGAAGGUGGGGAUGACGUCAAGUCCUCAUGGCCCUUAUGGGUAGGGCUUCACACGUCAUACAAUGGUCGGUACAAAGGGUUGCCAAGCCGCGAGGUGGAGCCAAUCCCAGAAAGCCGAUCGUAGUCCGGAUCGUAGGCUGCAACUCGCCUGCGUGAAGUCGGAAUCGCUAGUAAUCGUGGAUCAGCAUGUCACGGUGAAUACGUUCCCGGGUCUUGUACACACCGCCCGUCACACCAUGGGAGCGGGUUCCGCCAGAAGUAGGUAGCCUAACCGCAAGGGGGGCGCUUACCACGGCGGGGUUCGUGACUGGGGUGAAGUCGGAACAAGGUAGCCGUAGGGGAACCUGCGGCUG